GUGCUCACUUCAGCAGCACAUAUACUUAAAUUAGAAUGAUACAGAAAAGAUUAGCAUGGCCCCAUGCAAGGAUAACAGGUAAAUUUGUGAAGUGUUCCAUAUUUUU
ensembl:snRNA U6 U6 spliceosomal RNA